CUAAUCAUGCCUGUACAUGUGUAGAGCAUAUGAAUGUUCCAUGAAUUGUUCAUAUUCAUAUUUACAUGUAGGCUUACGACCGUUCUUUGUGUUUAAUUUGUGCAGCCGGAGAGAAAACACGUGUGGACUUCUGUUAUACCGAAUUCCCAAGUAAUUGUGAUUCCUUAUCCACCGGAUAAUCCUUCAAGUUGGAAAGCUAAGCUGUUGGUAACGCCCAGCAAGCUGGUGUUAUUGACAGGUGCCAGUCUUUUGGGCAUAUGUGUCUUCAUCGGUCUGAUCAUCUUGUUGUUGCAUCUCAAAGAAAAGAGAGAAGACCAAAAAGAGAAACGUCAAGAUGCUCACAAGUUUCAUUUUGAUGCCAUGUGAAGUAAUUACUCGUAUUACUCGUGUUCAAUGAUCAGUUUUGUCCUGAAGCCGUAAUUUCGUAAAGUACUUAAAAGAUCAACAGUUGAUCUUCAAGACCCACCGUUUAUUUUAACAUGGUUUGUACUGAAAUAUAACAAGGGAACCUAGUUGUUGUAAUUUUAAAACAUGUCUCGGAGAAUGCUGUAUUUAAUAAUAAUAACUAAUAAUAAUAACUUUAUUUAAAGAGGGAAACACUUUACAGUCCUGGACUGAGAAACCUGUGGCUCUCACUUACAUUUAGUGGAGUGUAAAUUACAAUACAGCAUCGUUCUUCGCUGUAUGUUCAGAUCAACCAGUUCGCAGUCUCUCUUAAUUGUCGUAGAGUGAGUAAAAUAUUUUGUAUGGAACUUCUGUACCGCAAUUGCACGUGAACCACACAUAUUGAUAGGUAAUAAUUAGUUCAAAUAAAGCGCCUAGUAAGCAUCCUA